AGACCGAUAGCGAACAAGUAGAGUGAUCGAAAGAUGAAAAGCACUUUGAAAAGAGAGUUAAACAGCACGUGAAAUUGUUGAAAGGGAAGCGUUUGCGACCAGACUCGCCCGCGGGGUUCAGCCGGCAUUCGUGCCGGUGUACUUCCCCGUGGGCGGGCCAGCGUCGGUUUGGGCGGCCGGUCAAAGGCCCUCGGAAUGUAUCACCUCUCCGGGGUGUCUUAUAGCCGAGGGUGCAAUGCGGCCUGCCUGGACCGAGGAACGCGCUUCGGCUCGGACGCUGGCGUAAUGGUCGUAAAUGACCCGUCUUGAAACACGGACCAAG
rnacentral:rRNA from 1 species